GGGAAUAAAAGCUGGCCACCCCAGCCAGCAGUGGUAACCGGUUUGGGUCCUUUUUCGCAAUGUGGAGUCUUCGUCCUUUUGCUCUUCCCAAAAAACCUUGCUGCCUCUUACUUUUUGGGUCUGUGCCAUCUUUAAGAGCUGUAACACUCACCGUGAAGGUCCGUGGCUUCAUUGAUGAAGUCAGUGAGAAUCAUGAAGUCAGCCAGAGUACUGAGUCCGGAGCUGGCUCUCCUUUACCAGAGUCAGAUCAUGGUCAUCAGACACGUCCCAUUCUCACUCAACCCAGGGGCAACAGAGUGCUGACCACAAAGCACGUGCUUAAUGAGUGAUGAGUGACCCAAAAAACAAAUCAGAAGAUGGGCAAAAAUUCAUCAUCUAAGGGACUAGAAGAAAUGGGAUAUCCUGUGAGGUUCAGAAAAGCCCAGCAAGGGUCAGGGGACACCACUGCAGAAGAAUCAUUGUCAAAUCAUCGCAUAGGAAAACCCAGCAGCCUCAGAGGGGCUCCUGCAGGCCAAGCUCAUGUACAGUGGGCCUGUGCUCUUCCUUAGCAGAAGGGCGUGGCCAGCCCUUGCCCACUGUCCUUACGGCGGGCUUCAACCUGGGCUCAACCUGCACUCUCUUCCCAUCUGCAGCCCUGGAGGGAAUCGACUGCCAGUUUAAGGAGUCAUUGUCCAGUUCAGACUCCAGAAUACGAAACGUAGAAACUGACAGGAAAUGACCAAGUAUAAAUUGCAACUUGUAAAGAAUCAUCUUAAAUCCUGGCACUGCGUUCAAGGGGGAGUUUGAGCAAGGAAUGUUGCUAAAACGGCUAAAACCAGGAACUCAGAAUAUCGUUCUACAAUAGAACCUAAAAACUGUUUCCAACCCAUCACGACAUCACCCUGAAAAAUGAGUGAGCAGUCACUGAGGCUUCCCAAGUUUGAAAAUUCCACAAGACUGAGAGCAAAUGUUUUGUUGAAACUGAAGUCAAGAUGAAGUCAGCUGACUCUCAAACCUCAGGUGAAGUGACUCAGGGCCCACACCCCGGUUCUGAGGCAGGGACACAUUUUACUUGCAGCACCCUGCAGCUUUGGAUGAGGCUGCAACCCGGGUGAAUCCUGGCCCUGCUAUCACGUGGGCAGCCACUGCAUCCUCCGGAGGCUGUGGAUGGGAGUCACCAUGCUGGGAGGUCUGGAGUAAGAUCUGUGCCAUCUGCCUUGCCCAAUCCUGUACCAGUGCCUGUGUUUCAAAAUCUCAAAAUAAAAGUGAUUAUUCUUGCAACACAUCUAGGUGUACUAAACGAAUACAAAAAAGCCUUCGAUUAUUGCUGCACACAUCAUUACAAGAUGAAAUAG
rnacentral:lncRNA from 1 species